rnacentral:rRNA from 1 species
CACGUAGUUAGCCGGCGCUUUCUCUGCAGGUACCGUCAAUCUCUCUUCUUCCCUGCUAACAGAGGUUUACAACCCGAAGGCCGUCAUCCCUCACGCGGCGUCGCUGCAUCAGGCUUGCGCCCAUUGUGCAAUAUUCCCCACUGCUGCCUCCCGUAGGAGUCUAGGCCGUGUCUCAGUCCCAGUGUGGCCGGUCACCCUCUCAGGCCGGCUACCCGUCGUCGCCUUGGUGAGCCGUUACCUCACCAACAAGCUGAUAGGCCGUGAGCCCAUCUAUAACCACUACAUAACGCUUUCCACCAACACCCCAUGCGGAGAUUGGUCGUAUCCGGUAUUAGACCCAGUUUCCCAGGCUUAUCCCAGAGUUAAAGGUAGGUUACUCACGUAUUACUCACCCGUUCGCCACUAAUCCACCUAGCAAGCUAGGCUUCAUCGUUCGACUUGCAUGUGUUAAGCACGCCGCCAGCGUUCGUCCUGUAGCCAGGACUCAAACUCGUA